CGUGAUCAUGCUUAUUUCUAAAAAGUCUAAUACAAAUUGCAAAAUUGAGGCAAAAGCAUAUUUAUAAAACAACAUAAAAUCAUGUCUUUCUAAUAAAUAAAAGAUAAACUUAGUCAACUAACUUUACAUUAAUUAGAACUCGGUAUUUGACUACUUUGAUUUAGGCCUUGAAUGAUAGCAGGGAGUUUAGCUCUCAAAAGAUCUUCUACUUGAGAUUGUAGAUUCACUUGGUGGUUGCUAAUUUGAGCUUCUAAAGACUCAAACCGAGAGGCCAACUCUUCAUUCUUUUUCUUCAACUCUUCAUUCUCCUUUUGCAAAUUGAGAUAAGUUUUUCUACAGGAAAUUGCAAUACAAGCGUGAACACGCCUUUUUCCAGAAAAAAAAUACUCCCUCCGUCCGCCAAAAGUGUACCACUUUGGCUGGGCACGGGAUUUAAUAAAAUUGGUGAUGAUUUUGAUGUAGUGGAGAAAGGGUCCCACCACUUUAUGGGAUGUGUGGUUGAGAUUGAAUUUGGGGUGGGUUUUAUUGUAAAUAAAGAGUGUUUGUAAGGAUAAAAGAUUAAAGUGGGUGGUGGGACCAUUUCCAUAAAAGGAAAGUGGUAUACUCUUUGCGGACGCCCAAUAUAGUAAAAGUGGUAUACUUUUGGCGGACAGAGGGAGUAUCAAAUUAUCAAAGAAACUAGAAAAUUACAAUACAAGCGCGAACACGCCUUUUUCCAAAAUAAAAGCAAUUAAACAACUAGCUCAAUAAACACAACAGUUAAAUUCUGGAGUCAAUAACAUUUAUUCCUCUAGGUUGCAAUGAAUAUAAUUUUGGAAUUCUCAAAUACUCUAAAUAGAGUAAUACACUAACAGCCCAUUCAUUUCACUAUAUAUAUAUGUAUAUAUAUAUAUAUAGAAUGAGACAUCUAGUACCCUAUGUGCCCAUCUCAACAUACUUCAUUUAAAUCUCUCUGCAUUUUUAUAAGAGACUUGUUAAAUUUACUCAAAGAAGACAAUGAACAUGAAACACAUGCUAGCUUAUGGAUACAGAUUUUCUACGCAAUUCACAGCACAAUUUUAGAGAACAAGUAACAACAAACUAACACAGCCACCUUCUCGAGCAUGGACCUCAAGAAAGGAGAGUUCUCACUUUUUUAUGCAGAUGUAAGGGAACUAAAACAAAGAGAACUUCGGAAAGAAAAUCCCUCAUACCUUCUCUAAUUUAUUCACACCUUUCGCAUAUAUAUUCUUUCUUUUGCAGCAGAGCAAGACCAAACAUAUAGUGGACCUGAAAUGCAAAGGCAUCCAAAAUUACAAGUGUAUCAGAUUUUGUACGAAUACACUUUUAAUAGGAAAAAUAAAGUUGGUGUAUCUGAUGAUAAGUUUGUAGGUGAGAAGAAACACGUGGAAUACUUCGAAUCAAUCGGGCAUCUAAUUAGGAUGACUCCCCACAUCGACAACCAGAGGAUACUAAAGAAGAUUCUCCAUUUGAAGGAUGAUCAAUAACAAAAACAAACAACAAAGGUAGCUAGAUAUAUCUCUUCAUGAAAUCCCAAUAAAAUUAUACUAUAUAGAAUGUUUUUACUAACUACUAAUUUGAGAUGGCAAGCAACAUGAUCAGCAAAGUAAUACAUAAUCAAAUAACUUAUGCAAAAUUUGAGAAACAUAACAUUUACAUUGAAAUAUGAGCAUCAAGAACAUUAAUACUAUCAAGUUAUUGAAAAAGUAUUAACAGUUGAAAAACCUCCAUCUCACCUCACCAUCAUCCACCGCCUAAUCUGUCAAAGUGGAAACAGCAAAAACAACUCCCAACAGACCCUCAAUAGCCAAAGUGAUGGCAUGUGCUUCACUAGCAACCAAGAUAGUAGUAUUUGAUGCUUCAAUAUCUAAGCUCCAGUCAAUAUCCGACACUGGAAAAAGCUCAACAUGUCAAUAGACACUGCAUUCACGAUUAAUAUUGGAAACUACAGCGUUAAAAGGUUUAUUGCAAAAGAAAAAUGAAGACGAAUUGAAAGGUGUCGUGUCUCACAAUCCAAAGUCAUAUAUAUAGAUUUAAAUAAAUAAUGUGCUGAGAAUUUAGUCUCUCAUUAACCUUAACUGCUACUUUUCAUCUGAAACAGAUAAGAUUACAAAGAAAAUACCAGGCAGCCCUAGUCAAUCCCGGCGGCGAGAGGGCGGCGGGAGCCCUAGGCAACCCUAGUCGAUCCCGGCGAAGAGAGCCCUGGGUGGCCCUAAUCGAUCCUGGGGGUGAGAGGGCGAAGAGAGCCCUAAGCAGCCCUAGACGAUCCUGGCGACGAAAGGGCGAAGAGAGCCCUAGGCAGCCCCAAUCGAUCCCGGCGGCGAGAGGACGAGAGGGCGGCGAGAGCCCUAGGCAGCUCUAGUCGAUCUGGCGGCGAUUCAGCGGCAGCCUGGAUGUGGGCGAGAAGGCGACAGGAGAAAUAUGAUUUUAGCGUAGUGUGAAAUUUGAUUGUAGUUUAGGAUUUUGAAAUCUACAUGUAGCGAGGGAGAAUGAGAGUUUGAUAUUGGGGAAGCGGGAGAACAAAUUUCAGACUUAGUAUAAAUUUUUUGCAAGCUCUAAAAU
rnacentral:lncRNA from 1 species